UUUUAAAAUAGCUGCAGCCCUCUUGAUGGAUAAAAAUUAGUUUUUUUCCCAUUGUGGGGUAAAUUAAAACCACCUAUUUUUAGCAGGAUGCCAAAUACCGCAGCUGUUCGCCUUGUUAAUGAUCAACUCAAUCCCGCUCCUAACCAUCUUCCUUCCUUGCAGUUCUUUUCCCCUCUUCUUGUGGAUCUCUGCCUAAAAGUCUUACAGGUAGUAGAGGUAGUAAGCUUAGAAGCAUUGGCAGAAUGAAGUAAAUCAUGGUCCCAGGAGACGCUAUAGGUAAGGCACUGUAGCUAUGUCACUGUAUUCUUAUAGUGUGCUUUCUACAGUGAACGAACGUUUUUUGUUUUUGUUUUUUUUCCCAUUGCUGUAGGAACUCCAUCUCCCUGAGCGACAGUAGCUAGGUCAAAGAAAGUCUUCCGUAACCUAGCUGCAUCUACACCAGGGAUUAGCUCAUCGUAGCUACAGUGUUCAAGGGUGUGGAUUUUUCACAUCCCUGAGUACUGUAGCAAUGUCAGUCUAACUUUGAGUGAAGACCAGGCCUAAGGAUCUAGGGGAGGAAGAAACAACUUGGUGGGGAAGACUGCAUCAGAUUGGGAAGAUGAUCUGGGGCAGUGCUCCUCCUCAAAGAAGCAAAGCUAAGCGGCAUCCCAUUGCAGCCUGCAAACACCCCAGCAGUAUUUAUAACACACAAUCUGGUUAACUCUGGCACUGUGACACAUUUGUAUUACCUCUGUUAUGCCAGAGUGAAACAGCAUGGAAACACCAGUGCUGAGAUGGCAUGAGGCGUGAUAGUUUUCGAUUUGUGUCCAGGUGUAGAAAUUGUUUGAAAGUAUUGCAACAUACACGUGCACAUCCUCGCUAAGAGUUCUUCUUCUUGAAAUAAGAAGAUGAUUGCAUUCAAUGCAAGAGUUGUGUCCUGAGUGUUCCCUAUGCAAAUUGAAGCAGCAGGUCUUGUGAGAAGGGAGAUACAAGAAGACGAUGAAGAACACUGUUCUGCUGUGAUAUCCACUAAAGGAGUUAAGCCACAGCUUCCCAGGCUCUGCUGCGUCUGCAUGAGAUAUGCAUACCACACCCGUCUCUUAGCACACCAACCAUCCCCUCCUGAAGACCCCAUGGGGAAACAGAAAAAUGAUGUCUGAAACCAUUAGACAGAACCUGUCCUGGCCUACCCUGGUAUCAGAAUUACAAGAGCCAC